rnacentral:tRNA from 2 species
UCGCCUGAUCAAAUCAAUAAA